rnacentral:rRNA from 1 species
GACGAACGCUGGCGGCGUGCUUAAUACAUGCAAGUCAACUGAUCUUGAGGUAGUAAUAUUUCAAGGGAGGUGGCGCACGGGUGAGUAACACGUAGGUAAUCUGCCUUUAGGUCUGACAUAAUCCCGCGAAAGCGGGACUAAAAUCAGAUGAUGCAGCGGCUCGACAUCGAGACAGUUGUUAAACCUCGGGCCUAAAGAUGAGCCUGCGUCUGAUUAGGAGUUGGCGGAGUAAAAGCCCACCAAGCCUGCGAUCAGUAGCUGGUCUGAGAGGAUGAUCAGCCACACUGGAACUGAGACACGGUCCAGACUCCUACGGGAGGCAGCAGUAAGGAUAUUGCUCAAUGGCCGAAAGGCUGAAGCAGCAACG